rnacentral:rRNA from 1 species
GACGAACGCUGGCGGCGUGCUUAACACAUGCAAGUCGAACGGAAAGGCCCUGCUUGCGGGGUACUCGAGUGGCGAACGGGUGAGUAACACGUGGGUGAUCUGCCCUGCACUUCGGGAUAAGCCUGGUAAACUGGGUCUAAUACCUGAUAUGACCUUCCAUGUAGUGUGGGGGGUGGAAGGAUUUCGCGGUGUGGGAUGAGCCUGAGGCCUAUCAGCUUGUUGGUGGGGUAAUGGCCUACCAAGGCGGCGACGGGUAGCCGGCCUGAGAGGGUGGACGGCCACAUUGGGACUGAGAUACGGCCCAGACUCCUACGGGAGGCAGCAGUGGGGAAUAUUGCACAAUGGGCGGAAGCCUGAUGCAGCGACGCCGCGUGGGGGAUGACGGCCUUCGGGUUGUAAACCUCUUUCGACAGGGACGAAGAUUCGGUGACGGUACCUGUAUAAGAAGCACCGGCUAACUACGUG